rnacentral:lncRNA from 1 species
CAGGAUGGCGGAAGUGGAGGCGCCGACGGCGGCCGAGACGGACAUGAAGCAAUAUCAAGGCUCCGGCGGCGUCGCCAUGGAUGUGGAACGGAGUCGCUUCCCCUACUGCGUGGUGUGGACGCCCAUCCCGGUGCUCACGUGGUUUUUCCCCAUCAUCGGCCACAUGGGCAUCUGCACAUCCACAGGAGUCAUUCGGGACUUCGCGGGCCCCUACUUUGUCUCAGAGGACAACAUGGCCUUUGGAAAGCCUGCCAAACUCACUCUCCUGCCCUUUGGGAACAAAUGAGGCAUGGAAGGUAGAAGAGAGGCAUUGUUUGGAGCUCUGCUGGAAAGUUCUGGUUGGAGAGAAUAAAAACCGUUCAACCUUC